GUGCUUGGAUGACUUGUGGCUAGGGGUGAAAUUCCAAUCGAACCCGGAGAUAGCUGGUUCUCUCCGAAAUAGCUUUAGGGCUAGCCUCGAUGUUAAGUCUACUGGAGGUAGAGCACUGAAUGGGUGAUGGCCCCACCUCGGGGUACUGAUCUCAAUCAAACUCCGAAUGCCAGAUAGAUAUAAUCGGGAGUCAGACUGUGGGUGAUAAGGUCCAUGGUCAAAAGGGAAAGAGCCCAGACCGCCAGCUAAGGCCCCCAAGUGUCCGUUAAGUGGAAAAGGAUGUGGAGAUGCACAGACAACUAGGAGGUUGGCUUAGAAGCAGCCAUCCUUUAAAGAGUGCGUAAUAGCUCACUAGUCGAGUGACCCUGCGCCGAAAAUGUACCGGGGCUAAACGGACCGCCGAAGCUGCGGAUUGACUUUAGAGUCAGUGGUAGGAGAGCGUUCUAACAGCGGUGAAGCAGUACCGGAAGGAGCUGUGGAGCGGUUAGAAGUGAGAAUGCCGGUGUGAGUAGCGAAAGAUAGGUGAGAAUCCUAUCCAUCGAAAGCCUAAGGUUUCCAGGGGAAGGCUCGUCCGCCCUGGGUAAGUCGGGACCUAAGGUGAGGCCGAAAGGCGUAGCCGAUGGACAACAGGUUGAUAUUCCUGUACCACUUAUUAAACUGAUGGAGUGACGGAGAAGGCUAAGUUGAGCGUGUGAUUGGAUUCACGUGUAAGCAGUGAGGUGGUCAUGUAGGCAAAUCCGCAUGGCAUAACAUUGAGCUGUGAUGCCGAAGCCGAAUGGCGAAGUCAACUGACGUCACGCUUCCAAGAAAAGCUUCUAGGGUUAAUUUAAUAAGUGCCCGUACCGAUAACCGACACAGGUAGGCGAGGAGAGAAUCCUAAGAUGAGCGAGAGAACUCUUGUUAAGGAACUCGGCAAAAUGACCCCGUAACUUCGGGAGAAGGGGUGCUUGUGAAAGCAAGCCGCAGUGAAUAGGCCCAGGCGACUGUUUAUCAAAAACACAGGUCUCUGCUAAACCGCAAGGUGAUGUAUAGGGGCUGACGCCUGCCCGGUGCUGGAAGGUUAAGAGGAGAGGUUAGCGCAAGCGAAGCUUUGAAUUGAAGCCCCAGUAAACGGCGGCCGUAACUAUAACGGUCCUAAGGUAGCGAAAUUCCUUGUCGGG
rnacentral:rRNA from 1 species